rnacentral:rRNA from 1 species
UACGUAGGGUGCAAGCGUUAAUCGGAAUUACUGGGCGUAAAGCGUGCGCAGGCGGUGAUGUAAGACAGGUGUGAAAUCCCCGGGCUUAACCUGGGAACUGCAUUUGUGACUGCAUCGCUGGAGUGCGGCAGAGGGGGAUGGAAUUCCGCGUGUAGCAGUGAAAUGCGUAGAGAUCGGCAGGAAGACCAAGGGGGAAGCCAGGCACCUGGGCCCGUACUGACACUCAUGGACGACCGCGUGGGGAGCGAACCGG